UUGUCAAACAUGGCGCGAAUUUAAGUUCACUACAAAAUGACACGGAUAACGAAUCUGCCUGAUAAUACACUGAUGGUCGUCUUCCGUUUACUCGAUGGUCGUUCUCUUGCCAGUUGUCAAAACACAUGCGUUUUUUGGUACAAUAUCAUCGCCUCCUGGUCAGAUGCUUGGAAAGCUUGCGUCCUUGCGGAGAUCGAACCUUUCGUCGUGUGGUUUCUGUUCUGUCAACACUGGGGUCUGCGAAUGCAGGAGUACAGUGUCAUCUGGACGAACCCAUGUUUAAAUUACAGACAAUUCAAUGUUCACGUUGUGAACGGUCUUGCCAAUCGCGCUGAGAGUGAACUUUCCAGCUUAGCAAAUGAAACUCUCCGAUCAGACACUUAUAAAGUGCCUAGUCUUUUGAGUCGCAAGUCGAAUGUAGAUUGUAAAAACGGUGUUGGAUUGACAUACUGCUGUUGCAGAACUCCUAGUUCGAUUACUAUUAAUAACAAUAAGCAGCUAUGGAAAAGAGUAUACAGCACAUGGUGUAGAAGUGCGAAGCUUGAGUCUUGUGUGAGACUCACUAAGCUUAUCAACUCACAAAGAAAAAUAACAACCGUCAAGGCAAUAGGAGGAGAAGUAGUAACUGGCCUGCGCAUGUAUGAACCAGAUGCAUCAGAUGAGGAAGUGAGAGGCGCAGGCACCGUUGAAAUAGCGAAAUAAUUCGAGACUGAACGUUGAUUGCCUGAGUGAAUGGAGACUUUAUUGUUGCUGGUGAAUACGAUGGAGUAGUGUCUCUCUGGAAUAGCAUUUCAUGCCGUGAACUAGGGAGAUGCAAGCGACAUAAACAAAAAGUUGGUGAUAUUGCCCUGUAUAGGAUAACAGAUGAUAGUCACACAGAACACGAGUGCUGGUGUGCAAGGUGUCAUAUUGUCAUUGCAUUAACCGUAUCACCUCAGUGUGAUAACAUUGCAUUGAGCUGGAUCAACCUGAGGCUUGGAAGCAUAGAAGCUGCCAAAGACAUAAAUCACACAGCAACAGGCUACUAUAGUGUGAGCUGUGGGAAGGAGAUGUUCGCCGUGAGAAAUAUUCAAAACAGGCUUGUAGUCUGGAAUAUUGAGACAGUUUUCCACGAGGAGAAGCCCCAACCUGUUAUUGAUACCUGCAUCCCUACUCCUAGAUGCAUCAGUCUGUGGAGUGAAACUAUAUAUUGCCUUGAUGAGCAUAGAGCUGUCACCUGCGCCCUCGAUGGAUCUAACGCUAUCAGGUGGCAGCCAACGGUUCCAGCCCAGAAUACCAUAUGGAAAGACAGGGGCAUCGUAGUAUGCGGACCACUCUUCAUAGCCGUGAAUGGCUUCAACAUCUGGCUUGCUCUGUGUGGACACAAGUUUAAUCAUUUCGCUGUGCAGCACGCAGGAAUGCAGCUUUCACUAGCUACUGUGUGUGGAAAUCUACUUGCUGUUGGGACAGAGGAUGGCCAGGUGUAUAUAUACUUCAUGAACAUUUCAAGUCUAACCAAGACAGUGCAAAUCAAUCCCAACUGCCCAGUAGCCAGGGUAAAGUUGGACAGACAGGUGUUUGGGCUUGAGCUGGGAUUAGGAGCGGAUGGCACGUACUACCUUGUUGCUAUGACAACAGAUGGGAUGCUGCUGAACAGAUGGCUACAGCAAUCGGACUCUAUUGCACCUGCUAUUCCACCACUGAGAGUAUAGUGAAAUGAUUCUAUGGACAAUAUUCAUUCGUUGGCUGUUGAUAAAAAGCUUGUUAAGCAGGAAGAGAUACUUGGGCACGCGUCAUUUGGUUAGAGCAGAAGGGUUUUUCAAAAUAUACCUAUUUUAUGUCAUUUUAAGUAUAUAUGCAUCGUGCACAUCCAUAAAACAUUAUUGAUUUUUAUUUCUUUGUUGAACCACAUUAAAUAAAUAAAUAUAGCAA